AGACACCAUUGUAGGAAGGACAUCUUCAAAUAUGCCCCCUCAAUAUAUUCUGAAGAUCAAGAGGAAUGUAUGGCCACAUUUGCAUUGUAUAAUGCACAGCGCACACUUCAAGGAGGGACAACAAAACCGCUCGAGAAGUAUACCCAAUGAUAGGAAUCUAAUUCACUUCAACAUAAAUAAUUACAUAGGAAAGUCAGAGCAACAGGUUUUUUUCAUCUCUUACAAAGCCCAAAUUAUUUUUUUUUUAUUCUAGCGUACAGAUACAGUAAACCUUGAAAAUAUUAUGGGAGUGGAUUCAGAGCACGUAAGAGCAGCAUUUUGUGCUGCAGGGUCUUGUUUCGGUAAAGCAUUGUUUCUUUCAGAACUUUUUUGCGUCCUGAAACACCAUUACUGACACAGGAACAGUGCGUUUUGAAGGCCAUAAACAUAACUCUCCCGUACAUUUUGACGUCAUCCUCAGGCCAGAAAGGUAGUCAUGCCAAACAGAUAUAACAGUGCAACCAAAUCCAAACAAUUGCUCUUUUUCUGUGUGCGCAUUGUGUUCCAGCUUGAAUAAAACGGCUGCUGCUAGCUAAAAUGCUUAACCUUUCGCCCCUGUUCAUUAUGAAGAACACGUUGAAUUUUUACAUAACGAUCGCGUUUGCUACGUGUCUGAUUUUUCAGUUCAUAUCGCAAAUGAGGGAUCUGCCGUUUGCUCUUGCGGCGCAUCAGCGUGUAAAACUAGAAGCGAGAUCUGACAGGCGUCCACCUAAGCCCAUGGCUCCUCCACCGACAACUCGAAGGCCGCCUACACCAUGUCCGGGUGUUAACAAAGGUCGAAGAGGGUGACCUUCAAGUGCGGCACUGUUUGCAACUGAUGAAGCUUGUAAAGUUCGAGGGUGCUUCUUUACAGUGUGAACAUUUUUAGUCAAAUAAAAGAGAGCACCAACUGUUUGUGCAAA